GCUUUGCCUGGCUUUCUUUUGGAUCACUUGUUCUGGAAGAAGCCAGCUGCCAUGCUGUAAGGACACUCAAGCCGUUUCCCCACGUGGGAACAGCCAACAUCAACUUGCUAGCCAUACAAGUGAGGCAUCUUGGGAGCAGAUCUUCUAGUCCCCAUGAAGCCUUUCGAAGACUACAGCCCUGCUAACUUUUUCACUGCAACCUCAUGAGACAUCACAGCCACCACCGAGCCGUCCCCACCGAGGAGAGGGGAGACAGGGAGGCAGUGAGCAAACGACGCUGCCCUCAGGAGCCACAGUUCUUCACCUUCUGCUCUGUGACGGCCUGGAGAGCGGGGCCAGCAGAGCGGGGCCAGCAUUCCCAACAGGCCUUUCCAGCCAACACGGAAAGGAACCAAGGAGCCAGCCAGAGGACAAGCUCUUUCCGCCAUUUCCUGGUCUGCUGUACUGCUCCUUCCUUCCAAAGGAGGAGACUGGUGACAUGCUGUCAUUGGAGAUGGAAAUGGAUUCAGUUACCUUUUGAAGACAGAGCUGACAGUACUUGCACCUUUAAUGAAUGAGUCUAGGGAAAGCAUGAAGAGAAUCAAGAAGAAGUCUAAGGUUUCUGGCUGGGAAAAAAAUGUGUUGGAUGAGG
rnacentral:lncRNA from 1 species